CCCCACUUUAUUCCAACCAUGCUGGCAGCUGAUUAGCUGGUGCCUACCCAGAUUGAGGAUGGGUCUGCAUCUUCCAGUUCACUGACUCAAAUGUUAAUCUCCUUUGGCAAUGUCCUCAUAGACAUAACCAGGAACAAUACU